rnacentral:rRNA from 1 species
UACGUAGGGGGCAAGCGUUGUCCGGAAUUAUUGGGCGUAAAGAGCUCGUAGGCGGUCUGUCGCGUCUGCUGUGAAAAUCCGGGGCUCAACCCCGGACUUGCAGUGGGUACGGGCAGACUAGAGUGUGGUAGGGGAGACUGGAAUUCCUGGUGUAGCGGUGAAAUGCGCAGAUAUCAGGAGGAACACCGAUGGCGAAGGCAGGUCUCUGGGCCACUACUGACGCUGAGAAGCGAAAGCAUGGGGAGCGAACAGG